rnacentral:rRNA from 1 species
GAUGAACGCUAGCGGCAGGCCUAACACAUGCAAGUCGAGGGGUAGCAGGAUUAAGCUUGCUUAAUUGCUGACGACCGGCGCACGGGUGCGUAACGCGUAUGCAACCUACCUUAUACUGGGGUAUAGCCCGGAGAAAUUCGGAUUAAUCCCCCAUAGUACUAAUGAAUCGCAUGGUUUAUUAGUUAAAGCGUUGCGGUAUCAGAUGGGCAUGCGUCCUAUUAGCUAGAUGGUGAGGUAACGGCUCACCAUGGCUACGAUAGGUAGGGGGCCUGAGAGGGUGGUCCCCCACACUGGUACUGAGACACGGACCAGACUCCUACGGGAGGCAGCAGUGAGGAAUAUUGGUCAAUGGGCGCAAGCCUGAACCAGCCAUGCCGCGUGCAGGAAGAAUGCCCUGUGGGUUGUAAACUGCUUUUAUUUGGGAAUAAACCUCUUUACGUGUAGAGAGCUGAAGGUACCAAAUGAAUAAGCACCGGCUAACUCCGUGCCAGCCGCCGCGGUAA